AGGGAUAUCGCUCAGUGGUGGAGCGCAUGCUUAGCAUGCACAAGGUCCUGGGUUCAAUCCCCAGCACCUCCA
rfam:Camelus ferus unplaced genomic scaffold scaffold1778, whole genome shotgun sequence.